ACUAGGACACAUGGGGACACAGACACUGGGAGACCUGGGGACACUGAGACACAUGGGGAUGCUGAGACACAUGUCCCCCAGCCAGUGUCCCUAGUGUCUCAGUGUCCCCAAGUCUCCCAGUAUCUGUGUCCCAUGUCUCUCAGUG